CCCGCCGACGAGCGAUACUACUGCCAUGCCAAAGCCGAAGCCUUUGAAUUUGGAUCGGAAAACAGAGAGGAACGGAUAAAAAAGAUUUAGAUAAAUGGAAGAGAGGUUGAAGUCUAUCAGAUUCAUCGCAAUCACUAUCGGUGGCUUUGUGGCAGCACUCUCAAUCUUCUUCGCCACUGCUCAGUACCGGAGACGCCGGAAGAAUCACCACAAAUGCUCCCCGAAGUCGUGUUAUCUACAAGCUGACCAGACCAAGCCGCAGCACGCAUUUAAGCGAGUCUUGGCGGAUAAUUCCUACUCUCCGUUCAAGCAUUUGAAGCUCGAUGCGUCUCGUCACGAUAAUGCUUCUAAUUCUCAUCCGUAUCAGGCAGAGAUUUUUGAAUUGGUGGAGAAUCCUCGACUUGAGUUCAGCUUCAUUGAUGGAAUAGUGGACUCGGAAAUAAGCGAGGAAUAUACAUGGGUUGAGACCGUGUCACAAUUGAAGGAGCUCCUCGAUGUUUUGAUCAAAGAGAGGGUUUUUGCUGUGGAUACCGAGCAGCAUAGUUUACGAUCCUUUCUAGGAUUUACAGCUCUAAUACAGAUCUCUACUCGCAAGGAGGAUUAUUUGGUGGACACGAUUGCUCUGCAUGAUUCAAUGGGUGUUCUUCGCCCAGUUUUUGCCGAGCCUAGUAUUUGUAAGGUCUUUCAUGGGGCCGAUAAUGAUGUUCUCUGGUUGCAAAGAGACUUUCAUAUAUAUGUUGUUAAUUUAUUUGAUACUGCAAAGGCAUGUGAUCUUCUUUCAAAGCCGCAGAAAUCGCUGGCAUACUUACUUGAAACAUACUGUGGUGUAACCACAAACAAAUUGUUACAGCGUGAAGACUGGAGACAGCGACCCCUGUCGAAAGAAAUGGUGCAAUAUGCUCGAAUAGAUGCACACUAUCUAUUAUAUAUUGCGAAUUGUUUAAUAACUGAGCUCAAACAACAGGGGACUGAAAUCUCUUGUCCCGAUGACAAAUUCGAUUUUGUUCUCGAGGCCAGUAGGCGUUCAAACAUGACUUGUUUGCAACUUUACGCAAAAGAAGUUGAAGCUUUUCCUGGAGAAUCGGCCGCAUCAUCAUUAACUUCUCGUCAUUUGAAUGGUCAAGGAGCUGUUUCAUCAGUUUAUUUUAAAACCGAGUUUCAGGAUCUCGUGAUGCGAUUGUGUGCAUGGAGAGAUAUAAUGGCUCGUGUGCAUGAUGAGAGCCUAAGAUAUGUAUUAUCGGACCAGGCUAUUGUUGCUCUUGCAGACAGACCUCCAAUGACUCUGGCAGAAAUAUGUAGAACAAUAACUCAAGCUGAUUUGAAUGUGGAUUUGAGUUUCAACUCUCUCCUUCCAUCUCCAUCCUCUGUUGUUUGCAGUCAUUUGGAUGAUGUCCAUACCCUGCUCCAGGACAACAUCAGCAACCUUAACGAUAUUUUCCCAAUGAUUCUCCAAAAGUGCCUUGGUUCAAGUGGGAGUUGUCCACUUUCUAUUUUAAAUUAUGCUUUACUGGUUAACUGUAAUCUAAAAGUGUCUUUAGUAUCCAAACAAAACAUGGUAAAAAGUUCAAAGCAAGUUGCUCGAAAGACUUCUCGAGAGCUGUUUGUUCAAAAGUUCUCCUGCAAAACUCCGGUUUAUCAUAAUUGCAAAAUCUUUGCAAAUGAUGGACGGUUACUUUGUUACUGUGACCGCAGGAAGCUUGAAUGGUAUCUCCAUAGAGAGUUAGCUAAACUUGUUGAUGACAAUCCACCUGCCAUUAUGCUUCUUUUUGAACCCAAAGGUCGUCCAGAAGAUGAAGAUAAUGAUUUUUAUAUCCAAAGUAAGAAAAAUAUAUGUGUUUGCUGUGGUGAAGGAAAUCACUACUUGCGCUACAGAAUAAUUCCUUCGUGCUACAGAAUACACUUUCCCGAGCAUUUGAAAAGCCACCGUUCUCAUGAUAUUGUCCUGCUCUGUGUGGACUGCCAUGAAGUUGCCCAUUCUGCUGCUGAGAAGUAUAAAAAACAGAUUGCUGCAGAAUUUGGAAUUCCCCUAUUUGUUAGUAAAGUGGUUGACUCGAAAGAAGUCCAAGUUAUUUCUGGAUCAUCUGAGUCAGCAACAAACGAUGAGGAGGUGGGAGUACCCCCUUUACAAUUGAGAACAGCUGCUAUGGCACUUUUGCGCCAUGGACCAAGAAUGCCAUCCAAGCGACGCGAAGAACUGAUGCAGAUUGUCAUGCGUUAUUAUGGAGGAAGAGAGAUAACUGGGGCAGACUUGGAAGCAGCUUUGCUAGUUGGCAUGAGUCCCCACGAAAGAAGGCGGCUUAAAAAGAAGAAAGGGAUAUCUUUUAAGCAUUCUGCUGGGAGCAUCCUUCCAAAUAUGCAGAAUAAUGUGGGCUGUACGGAGACAUCUUCCAUUGUGGAUGCAUCAGAAGUUGGUAUUCUAAAUAGUUCUGACAGCACUAAAGCAGAAGCAUGCAAUGGACAACAAGAAUUCAGAAAAGCAGAUGAUGAUGUAGGUGACUCCACUAUUGGUGCUGACUCAGGUGUUGAUGAAGUCAAUUAUACUUUUAAAGAUAGCUUAAAGUCUGACACACAUGGAGCAUCUAAUAGAAAAGGUGACUGCAUUGGAAAUUCUGAUGACAAUUAUGAGAGUAGGGGCCCAUCAAAUGGAACCGUUGAGUUGAAUCAUAAGAAAUAUGAUGGAACUGCCCAAUCUAAGCAUAAUUCCAAAUUAUCAUUGUUAGGACAUGGGCCGCAUGGGAAACAAGUUGUAAAUCAUCUGCUAAAGGAAUAUGGUGAGGAUGGUGUUCGUCAAUUCUGUCAAAGGUGGAGACAAGUAUUUGUCGAGGCUCUUCAACCUCGUUUCUUACCUGCUGGCUGGGAUGUAAUGCACAGUGGUAGGCGUGACUUCGGUGAAUUUAGUGUAUACAAUCCUGCCAACAAAGCUUUGGACUUGGUUAAGAGUUAGUCUGUACAUUUUGUGAUGCUUGGAUGAUGUCUUCCAUGAGGUUGCUGCGAUCAUUGGAAUUCUAACGCUGGUGUUGAAUGACAUUAUUUCUGUUUCAGAGCUUUAUGAUCAUUUUUCUGAGUUUCCAGUUCGAGUUAGGGUCUCUCAGCUGCAGUCGGCUCGCACCAAACCGAUGUGGAUGCCCACAUCGUUUUAAUGAAAAAGUGUGGAUUGGAGUUGGUGGAAGACAAAACAGAGCUCAACUUUUGAGAGGAAAAAGAGCAAACAAAAACUCAGGCGGGAACCGAAAAGCUUAGUUUCAUUUUCCUACAUUUUUCGGGAGUACUCUUUUGUUUGGAAAACAGAGAGGCCAUGACCAUCACUUGUAUGGAUUGUCUAUAACGUUGUAGCAAAAGGCAACAUCAUGGCUUUCAAAGAUCAAGUCAAUACCAAAGAUGAAACUCCAUUACAUGUCACAUCAAGGUAUGGGAAUGUUGUUCAGAUCGAACAUGGGAGAUAUCCACAUCCUCAAGAUCCUGAAAGUGGACAAAGAGAAAGACACAACCUUACAUGAGGCUGUAUGUUAUAAUCACCUUGAAGUGAUAAAACUUUUAAAGGAAGGCCAUCAACAAAAUUCAUGAUGAAAAAUCCAGCUGAACAUUUUUUUCUUUUGUUGCCCGAAACUCCACAGUGAUCAUUAAGAAAAUGAACAAGAUUUUCGUUUGCAAGAUCUGUCGGAUGUGAAAACCCCCAAGGCCCAGUAACCGGAUCUUAGAGACAAAAAUAAGGGAGGAGAAGAGCUGAUUUUGCUGGGCAGAGAAGAAGUUGGGUUCGCCUACUAUCGGACGAUUUUCCUUUCUUCUUUGUGGGAUAUCCACCAGAUUGUAACUAGAAGUGCUUUCUUCUGGCUUCUUUUUUUCUUCUUUUUUUUUUUGUAAUGUCUGAAGUGGGAUCCAACCACAUUAGAUUUAAUGUGUGUUGACUGUAGGAGACGAUUGUACAUAGCAGAACUCUAAAAUCAAUUACA